UACGUAGGGUGCGAGCGUUAAUCGGACUUACUGGGCGUAAAGCGCGCGCAGGCGGCCCGUUAAGACAGGUGUGAAAUCCCUGGGCUCAACCUAGGAAUUGCGCUUGUGACUGGCGGGCUCGAGUACGGUAGAGGGGGGUGGAAUUCCUGGUGUAGCAGUGAAAUGCGUAGAGAUCAGGAGGAACACCGAUGGCGAAGGCAGCCCCCUGGGCCUGUACUGACGCUCAUGCACGAAAGCGUGGGGAGCAAACAGG
rnacentral:rRNA from 1 species